rnacentral:lncRNA from 1 species
UUGCAGUAGUCCAGACGGGAGAUGACAAAUUCCUGGAUUAGGAUUUGCGCCGCUUUGUGUGUGAAGAAAGAUCGUACUCUAUGUAAUAUUCAUAUGUGUAAACAUACAGAAUUAUAAUUGGAUGCAUUUUACCGCCAUAUCAUACUGUGCUAUGAUUGGUUAAGACCACCCAGAUGGUUAGGUCAUGGUCAGUUGAUCAUGGUUGGAGAUAAGUGAACAUGCAAGUUGUAGCUAGCUAAUAAAGAGCUACGUUAAGAAAUAUCCUGUAGUACUGCAUUUUAUUAUUUUGUACAAAGUGUGCAAAACAAGUCAGUGUAAAAGGUCUUAAAAGAUGGAUUUUGCUGGAGUUCCAUCACCUCGAAUGGACUGGGGAGUCUACAAACCUACCCGAUGCAUGGCAGGACCUGAGCCCUAGGACCAUGCCUCAGGACUACCUGGCAUGAUGACUCCUUGCUGUCCCCAGUGCACCUGGCCGUGCUGCUGCUCCAGUUUCAACUGUUCUGCCUGCGGCUAUGGAACCCUGACCUGUUCACCGGACGUGCUACCUGUCCCAGACCUGCUGUUUUCAACUCUCUAGAGACAGCAGGAGCGGUAGAGAUACUCUCAAUGAUCGGCUAUGAAAAGCCAACUGACAUUUACUCCUGAGGUGCUGACUUGUUGCACCCUUGACAACUACUGUGAUUAUUAUUAUUUGACCAUGCCGGUCAUUUAUGAACAUUUGAACAUCUUGGCCAUGUUCUGUUAUAAUCUCCACCCGGCACAGCCAGAAGAGGAAUGGCCACCCCUCAUAGCCUGGUUCCUCUCUAGGUUUCUUCCUAGGUUUUGGCCUUUCUAGGGAGUUUUUCCUAGCCACCGUGCUUCUACACCUGCAUUACUUACUGUUUGGGGUUUUAGGCUGGGUUUCUGUACAGCACUUUGAGAUAUCAGCUGAUGUAAGAAGGGCUAUAUAAAUAAAUGUGAUUUGAUUUGAUAUGUACUUUUGUUAUUCGUUAUUCACUGUGUAUUUAUUCCAAUUGUGCAUUUCACUGUUAGUUUACGCCUGUUGUUUACGAAGCAUGUGACAAAUAACAUUUCAUUUGAUCUAG